AUAAAAAUAAGCUAAAUAUUAAGCUUAUGAACUCAUAUUUCAUAAAUAAAGUUAAACUUUUUUUUAUA
rnacentral:tRNA from 1 species